AAACUAACUAGGAUUCCCUUAGUAACGGCGAGUGAACCGGGAUGAGCUCAAAUUUAAAAUCUGGCGUCUUUCAGGCGUCCGAGUUGUAAUCUAUAGAGGCGUUUUCCGCGCCGGACCGCGUCCAAGUCUCUUGGAAUAGAGUAUCAAAGAGGGUGACAAUCCCGUACUUGACGCGACAACCGGUGCUCUGUGAUACGUUCUCAAUGAGUCGAGUUGUUUGGGAAUGCAGCUCUAAAUGGGUGGUAAAUUCCAUCUAAGGCUAAAUAUUGGCGAGAGACCGAUAGCGAACAAGUACCGUGAGGGAAAGAUGAAAAGCACUUUGGAAAGAGAGUUAAACAGCACGUGAAAUUGUUAAAAGGGAAACGAUUGAAGUCAGUCGUGUGAAAGGUAUUCAGCCGUCUCUGGCGGUGUAUUUGCCUUUCACGGGUCAACAUCAGUUUGAUCCGGUAGAAAAAGGCAGGAGGAAGGUGGCACCCUCGGGUGUGUUAUAGCCUCUUGUCAUAUGUGCCGGACCAGACUGAGGAACGCAGCUUGCCGCAAGGCCGGGGUUCGCCCACGUACAAGCUUAGGAUGUUGACAUAAUGGCUUUAAACGAC
rnacentral:rRNA from 3 species